CUCUGGAACCGAAUGUUGUUCCAGGGCGGAAAGAG
rnacentral:ncRNA from 1 species